rnacentral:lncRNA from 1 species
AUCCUGCAACAUGUUUUAUCUCUGACAGUACAUCGGGAGGGACUGUGCUCUUUUGCUCCUUGCUCGUGCUGCUGUCUAAGAACAGAAGUCACCCGCCUCUCCUGCCCCCGGCUCGGGGGAACCCCUGGAGGUGGCUGUCUUUCUCAUCAAAAAGCGCACCUAGGGGGCGGGGGUUUCAGCACCACCUCCAGAAUCAUGGACCAGAGACAGUAGAAAGGGGACCGUUUUGUCCAUCCUUCCUUGGAGACGAGGGGACGUGCUCUGCCCUGCUUGGUCUUCUAAAAUGGCAAGAUGGAAAACUCACCAGGGAGUUCCCAUUGUGGCUCCGCAGGUUAAGAACCUGAGUGGUAUCCAUGAGGAUUCCGGUUCGAUCCCUGGGUUUGCUCAGUGGGUUAAGGACCGGUGUUACCGUGAGGUGUGGUGUCGGUCACAGACACAGCUCGGAUUCGACCCCUACCUAGCCUGGGAAAUUCCAUAUGCCAUUUGCAGCCCUAAAAAGCGAAAGAAAGAAAGAAGGAAGGAAGGGAAGAGAAGAGAAAGAAAGAGAGAGGGGGGGAGGGGAAGGAAGGAAGGAAGUUCACCAGGCAGAUUCUGUUGCAGCUCAGUCGGUUCAGAACCAGUAGACCAGUAUCCUUGAGGAUGCGGGUUUGAUCCCUGGCCUCGCUGAGGGGAUUAAGGAGCCCACGUUGCUGCAAGCUGCGGUCGCAGAUGCAGCUCAGAUCUGGCGUGGCUGUGGCUGUGGUGUAGCCCAGAAGCUGCAGCUUGGAUUCGCCCCCUAGCCUGGGAACUUCCAUGUGCUGCCUGUGCGGCCUUGAAAAGAGAAAGGAGCCGGAGGAGGAGGAGAAGGGGGAUGGGGGGGGGGGGAAGAGGAAGAGAAGAAGAAAAAAAAAAAAGGAAAGAAACCUCACCAGGAGAAGCUGGGAAAACUAGUGCAGGCAAAGAGCGGAGGAUUAUCUACCGUUACCUGCAGCUAAAAAGAAGAGGGACUUUGCAGGGAAGCCUUCUGACCAGAGUGUGUGACUUCGUGGUGGGAACCUCCCUCAUCAUCUGCUGCAAUGAACUGGCUGAGCCAGGGCCCGGCGAAGACAGCAGACCCUUCUCUGAUCUCUGGCCAACAAUUUCCCUAAAGCUUCCCUCGGUCAGUGGAAGCUGCCCUUGUUUUCAGCGGCGGUGGUGACGGUGGUGUUACUUCUCUCUGAGCUCCAGUUACAAUGGUCUUUGCCUGUAAAAUGGGAUUGGUGCCCUGGCCCUGCAGGGGGUGGGGGAACUGGCAGGGGAUAGGUGUGCUCGAUGUGGGCCUGAUCCCAGGCCCCCUGGAACAUAGAGUGGUGCCUGCACAAAAAUGAGGGCAAGAGAAGGUCCUGUGUCCACCCCAGGAGAAGGCCUCCUGGGUGUUGGGACAGUUUUUUUUUUUUUUUUUAAUUUUGCUUUUGUUUUUGGCCACGCCCAUGGCAAACAGAAGUUUCUGGGUCAGGGAUUGAACCCACACCACAGCAGUGACCUGAGCCACAGCAGUGACAGUGCUAGAUCCUGAACCCACUAGGCCACCAGGGAACUCCUGGCAGUGUUUUAUAUCUACACCCUGGGAGUAGUUACAGAGGUGGGUAUAUACACCAAAGUUCGCUGAGAUGUACAAACUGUGUUACUUUACUGUGUGAAGAAAAAAAAACGCACAAGAGUUCGCCGGUCCCAACUCUAUAACUCUGAGCAGAGAGCAGCUGCUGUUUCUGAGCCUUCUUCCAGCUCACUCUCCAUGGCAUUUCCUGAGGCUCAGCGUCCCUGGUCUUUACGCUGUUUAAUUGUCUGUGACUUCAGAGGAGGCUUAGAAAGAGGAGGAAGUGGCUCCACCUCGGCCACUGGUUCCUGACCUCGAUGAAUACUGCUGGGCUUUCUCCAGCCAAGGAUGGGGAAACGCGUGGUGAUGAAAAAGAGACUGUCCCUGAAGUGACCUUUCGGGUCGGAUUUGUGUUGUGUUAUCACAGCGGCAUCAGCCCUCCUCAGAGAAGCAAUGUUUGCAAAACGUGGUAUGUGGUCUAUGGGAGCGGAAAACGUAGAUUAAUGACUGCCUCCUGAUGGCUCUGCAGCUCCUCCGGGGGCAGAGGGACCCCUGGGCUCUCCGUGGGAUGAGCAGUUCAGGGAAGGACUGUUGUUUUUGUCAGCCAGCUCUCCUCCGCCCUCCACCUUCUUCUGGGAAAUCUCAUUCUUCCUUUCUGUUCCCUGCCACCCCUCUUGCCUGUGAUCCUGGUGGGGCAGCCAAUCAGACAACUCCAUCUUCUCAGUAGGAGCAGCCAUGUGACCCAGACCAGCCUAUCACAAUGUUCCUGGUAUCUGGGCACUGCAAUUGGUCCAAGCAGAGCCAAUCAGAGACCUUCCCCAAUAGUUUAUAUUCUGACACUGAUAGAGAAAUUCCUCUAGGCUCCAAGACUGGGCCCUGGCGUGGUGUUGGCAUGAAGCCGUGUGCAGCCUUCCCCCUCCCCACAUGGAGGGGACUGUAUUCCUCAAGGAUACAAUGAGGCCCCAGUCUCUAACUCACCCAGGCUUAGAAGUCUAGGAGUUUCCUUAUUCACUUCAACAGAACACCAGUCAAAUCCCAUCCCUCCUCUGCUCCAAACUCCACAGUGGCCCCCAUCUCACUCGAAGUGAAAGCCACAGUUUGGACAAUGGCCCAUCGCCCUGUCCCAUUUGGUGUCCAUCGGGUUCACUCUGAACUCUUUGACUCCGUCCUCCCCUCCCUCCCUCAGUCAGCCCGGUCACAGUGCCCUCCUCGCUAGUCCUCAGCAUGCCAGACACUGUCACUUUUCCGGAUCUUCUGCUCUGGGGAUGUCUCUCCCUGGAACUCUCUUCCCCCAGGCAUCCACAGGGUGACACCUCAUCGGCAAAUCUUUGCUCAAAUCUCACCUUCUGCACGUGGCCCACCCUGAUGACCUUAGUCAGUUCCACAUUGGAGACAAGAGGGCGGAGUAGAAGGAUGAGGUCACCUCCUCUCCAGAAAUCACCACAAUCAGUUCUGCAGCCUGUCCCCACCCCCAGCAUUCCAGAUGCCACUUCCCUGCCUCGAAUUUCUCUUCCUUCCAUAGCAUCUAUCACUCCAUGACAUACCAUACCGUUGACUAAGUAUCCUUACAGUGUAAGUCUCGGCUUCCUGGGACAGGGGUCUCUCUUUUGUUCACUGAUGAACAAGCAUGGGAUUGAACUGAAUUAAACUCCUUG